CGAACGGGUGAGUAAUGCGUGACCAACCUGCCCCAUGCUCCAGAAUAGCUCUUGGAAACGGGUGGUAAUGCUGGAUGCUCCAACUUGACGCAUGUCUUGUUGGGAAAGUGUUUAGUGGCAUGGGGUGGGGUCGCGUCCUAUCAGCUUGUAGGCGGGGUAAUGGCCCACCUAGGCUUCGACGGGUAGCCGGCCUGAGAGGGCGGACGGCCACAUUGGGACUGAGAUACGGCCCAGACUCCUACGGGAGGCAGCAGAG
rnacentral:rRNA from 1 species